rnacentral:rRNA from 1 species
GUAGGGAAUAUUGCACAAUGGGCGAAAGCCUGAUGCAGCAACGCCGCGUGCGCGAUGAAGGCCUUCGGGUUGUAAAGCGCUUUUCUGGGAGAUGAGGAAGGACAGUAUCCCAGGAAUAAGGCUCGGCUAACUACGUGCCAGCAGCCGCGGUAACACGUAGGAGCCAAGCGUUAUCCGAAUUCACUGGGCGUAAAGAGCGAGCAGGCGGCUCGGUAAGUUGGAUGUGAAAUCUCCUGGCUCAACUGGGAGAGGACGUUCAAUACUGUCGGGCUAGAGGGCAACAGAGGGAGGUGGAAUUCCCGGUGUAGUGGUGAAAUGCGUAGAUAUCGGGAGGAACACCAGUGGCGAAAGCGGCCUCCUGGGUUGCACCUGACGCUGAGAUGCGAAAGCUAGGGGAGCGAACGGGAUUAGAAACCCUUGUAGUCC